CCCUCCAGGAGGCUGGUGCCUUAGUGAGUACACCUUUCCACAUUUGUGACCCAAAUCCUAAAAUCCUGUACAUAUAUCUGCAAUAUAUAUAUAAAUCCUCCUAUCCUUCCUGUGUCGGGGCACUCGGUAUUUUCUAUUCUACCCAGUUCUGUCUCGCUCCACUCUAUUUUUGUAUUUAAAAACAUCUAAUCAAAAGCCCCUAUUACUGAUGUCACAUCAGCCUGGAAGGCACCACAAAAGCCCCUAGUUCACGACACUUAUCUUUCAGAAGGCUUAUGAGGCCCUUCUUAGAGGAAAUCGAGUUGCCUAAGUAACUAAUUUCCGUUCGUGAAAGAAACGGAAUGUUCAGCGCAGAUGAACUUGACCUGAGCUGUGGAAGCGGCGCCUGGCCCCGCUGUGAAGUGCGGGUGGCCUCCUGGAGUCCCACAGGCGCCCCCCACACCUGGGGACCCUCCGAGCAGAGCCGGCGGCGAGCAGGCGGCGAGCGGGCUGCAGGAAAGGAGCCCCGCGGGCGCGACCCGCUCCUCCGGCCUCGCAGGCUCCGUGUCAGCAGCGCCUCCCCUCGUACAGGAGCUCGGAGCCCGGGGACCGCUGACUCGGGUCCGCGGGUCCACCCGGAGAUGGGCAGACGGGGGGUCAACUCGCGGUCUGGGGCAGGAGGAGGAGGGCGGUGAGAGCCUCUUGGGCGGGGGGAGGAAAGAGAAGCUGAGGGGUGGGGUGAGGCAAGGAUGGGCAGACACAGACGGGGAGGAAGAGGAGCCCAGGCCUGGGGGUACCCGGACCACGUGCGCGGGUGGCGAGCCUGCGCUGAGUGCGCGCGCGCGCGUGCACGAGCGGAUGAGCCGCAGUACCGGAACGUGCCUGUAGGGGGAGCCAGGUAAGAAGACUUAGCCCACCUGUAGACUCUUCGUCUGCCCUCCGAGGAAGGGGGUGCACCCGCUACCGGGUGCAGCAAAGGACAGGGUUCCCCACCUCCCCUCUCUUACAGCAUUCGCUUGAAAAAACUUGUCCUUGUGAAUUCUUCCGCUGCCCCUUGGAGAUGCAUUUCAGUCUCUCCAAGAGGGGACUUGAGGAUGGGCUGUGAGAGCCGAUGGUGGGUGCCGUCCCCCAGGGAGACUCCGAACCAGGGGGCUGGCCCUGCGUGGCAGGUGAAAGCAAAGUGUCAUCAUCGAGGCAGCUGAGCUCCCAGAGGAGGUCACCCUGCCUGUUCCAAGGACUUGUCAAUGGGCCGUAGGCGGUUGCUGAAGGUGGAAGGUCUCAUCGUCUGUAGCUUCUUGCUGCUGAGAAGGGGUGUAGAGACGUCCCUACCUACAUGGGUCAGUAUGGGUCGGGUGGGGAAUGCAUGAAGGAAUCACGAAAAGCAGAGGCAGCUGAAUCCAACAUGGACAGUAAGUUCGUAUCUCUGUGGGUAAGGAUCGUCUGCCGUCGAGAAGCCAUUGCAGCGAUGGAAUCUCUGCACCAAGCAAAAGGACACGGGAGAAAACAGCAAAACGUAACUAGAAUAACUAGAAGGAUUAGCUCGAAUAAAAGUUCUUUGGUAGUUGACAAGAA